rnacentral:rRNA from 1 species
UACGUAGGGUGCAAGCGUUAAUCGGAAUUACUGGGCGUAAAGCGUGCGCAGGCGGUUGUGCAAGACCGAUGUGAAAUCCCCGGACUUAACCUGGGAAUGGCAUUGGUGACUGCACGGCUAGAGUGUGUCAGAGGGGGGUAGAAUUCCACGUGUAGCAGUGAAAUGCGUAGAGAUGUGGAGGAAUACCGAUGGCGAAGGCAGCCCCCUGGGAUAACACUGACGCUCAUGCACGAAAGCGUGGGGAGCAAACAGG